CACACUGUCCGUCUUGCCUGCACUUUUUUCACUCCUCCCCUCACUGUAGCCGCAUACUCGCAUUUCAAACGAGCAUUCUCUACAGGCUAACCCUGGAACAUUAUCACAUAUCUCGAACGAAAACAUUGUCUCUCUUUGUAUUAAAAUGUUUGGCCUUUUAACCAAGUUUAGGUUCACUUUGGGACACUUCGAAAUAGAAUGACUGUAACACAAUCGUUUCCUCAGAAGUCACGUGACUUGAUCGGUUUGGUACCAGCCCUGAGUCAGUACCAGUACCAGCGAUCACUGCUGUCAUUCAGAAGCGAUAUAAGUAUGAGAAACCAUUCUUUCCUCGUGUUAUUUUUACUACUCGUGGUCGGUGUGUUUGGUGUUGAUACAGAUGGAGUAAAGUCAGUGUCAGUGAUGCAGGGAGAUUCUGUCACUCUACACACUGAUCUUACUGAAAUACCUACAGAUGGGGAUCUGCGGUGGAAGACUCAAGAUGACGCUAUCAUAGCACGGAUUGAUAGAGAAUCCAACAGAAUCUCAGUACCUGGGAAUACAAGUUUCGAAGGCAGAUUGAAGUUGGAUGAGACGACUGGAUCUCUGACCAUCACAAACAUCAAAACCACAGAUAAAAGAGUUUAUGAACUACUGAUCAGUGGCACAAAUUGGGAUAAACCAAACAAGGAAUUCAGUGUUUCUGUUGAUGAGCAGUCCGGCAUAUAGUAGCAACACUGGCUGAAGUGAGUUUGGGGGCGGGACUACAUCUUUGAGAAAACCAGGGGGAAGACAGUCAUUGUCAGACAAGAAGAAUUGUCUCCAAAACGUGUUUGAUUACAGUCAUUAUUUUUGUAAUUUUUUGCAUAUAAACUAUUCAAUACAUCUUCAGUUACAAUAGAAAUAUUAAAAUACCUAUAUGCAUAUUUAAAAUUUGACAAUGCUGAUUGUAGAAUACAAAUAAUCCAUAUAAUCAACGAAUCAUGUAUUCAUUGGCUGCAUUUUUCAUCCAUCAGACCAUUAUUAGCGUUACACAAUGACUGUGUGCACUGAAUAUUAUAGGUAGGGCACAUUUGGACAUCACAAGAGCUGGUGGCGCUGUUAGAAUGUUUUGAAUGUCUGACCAAUCAGCACUGGCAAGGGACACCGGAGGUGGGUUUAUUCUGUAGGUAAAAGAAUAGAGCAAAAAUGAUUAAAAUACCAUUGUGCUAAUGACACAACAUUGGAGUGCAUAAUUUACUGGAAAAUUGACAAGAAUUUAAAUUCUGUCUGAAGAUAUAUUAGGUAAACUGAGCAGAAUUAAUCAAUGUUCCUGUUAAAUAACCACUUUUUGGACUAAAAAGUCUUAACUGGUUUUAUUCUCUGUAUUAUUACAGUUAAAACUACACCAAUGUUUGUAUAAUAGCAUUUGUCUGUCAUCCAUACUGGACAAAAACUUUUCAGAACUCCCCUUUUUGAUGUUGCGAGUAUUGUUGUGAACUCUUGAUAAAAAUUAAAAUUACGUUAUUGCUGUGACAUUGUGGUUGUAAAUAGUGAAACUUCAGACUUCAAACUCUCUAAUGACAUUUUGCUUGUUAACAUUAAUUAUGAUUUUAUGGUAAAAUUAUGCAGUAAAUGUAAACAAACAAACUUCAGAACCACCAGUGGUCUCGAGCAAGUUAUAGGAUUAAACAGUGCUGAUUACAAAUGGACAAACAUCGAUCUGAACAAUCAGACUGGAGACCUCAACAUCAGAAACAUCCCAAAAAAUCAGGCUGGAGUUUAUGAAGUGGAGAUCAACACUGGCAGUGUGAUCUUACACAGAAAACUCUGUAUUACUCUUAGCGAUGUGUUUAGUGUUGAUGGAGUGAAGAAAAUGUCAGCGAGGAAGGGAGAACCUGUCACUCUACAUACUGAAAUUACUGAUAUACCAAAAGACGAUGUGAUAGAGUGGACGUUUCAAGACACUGCUUUAGCAAAAUCUGAUAGACAGGCAAAAAAAUCACUAACAUAUAACAAAGAAGAUUUGACAUUUAAAGACAGACUGCAACUGAACACAGAAUCUGGAGAUCUCAGAAUCAAUAACUUCAAGCCUGAGAUGUCAGGACUUUAUAAAGUAAAGAUCACCAAGAGUACAUAUACAUUACAGAAGACCUUCAGUGUUACUCUCGAUGAUUCACGUGAGUUUUCAGGUUCUACAGGUACAGGUGUGCCAGUGAUAUGUGGGGCCAGUGUUGUUCUGGCUUGUGCUGUAGCUGUUUUUUUUCUGCAAGAAGUAUAGACAAUCAAGACAAAUGUGUGCUAAUGCUGCAGGGAACUGAAAGCAUGCUUUGAAAAAAAUCAACUCCCAACAGCAGUAUCUUGUAGUCACCACAACAGGAUACAUAUUAACAGUGACAUGUGAAAGUAAUAAUAUCAUUUGAUUUGGCAUAAUUAGAGAAAUGUGCUUUCAUUUAUGAUGAAGUUGAUUUAACACAGCCAUCUACAAUGAUAUUGAUCAUAUUCCGUUCUUGUAUUAAGAGUCAAGACUGAUUUAAUGUCAUUUAGCAUGUGCGCUCUGUAUGAAGGCUUUUGUUAUUGUUUACAGUGUUCUCCCGGGGUAGAAAUCGCGUUCCGGGGGGAGAAAUGGGAACGCGGGGGCACCGUGAAUUUCAUGUCUUUUUUUUUUAUGUUUUGUUUGCCUAGAAGUGUUAGUUUUCCUUCAUCUUUAAACUUUUAGUUUUACAAAUCAUCACAUUAAAAUAGGAUAAUAUUUAGAGGUUUUAAGUGCUGGAAAAAGCGUGAAUCACUCUAAAAAGUCCUUGAAAAGUGCUUGAAUUUCACUCUCAAAAGUUUACAUGAACCCUGAAAUUAAUAAUGUAAAAGCAUUCAAGUAUUUCUGCCACAAUACCACAGCUUCAGUAAGCAGUACUACAUUAAAUCCAUGGAGAUUUGUGGACUGGAGAAUCUUAACUUGUUUAUGGCACGGUGUUUCUCCUGGUUUUCACGUCAGCACUAUUUUAUCUGUGGUUUAUAGCAGAGAAUUUUGCGCUGAAUUUGAAUGCUUCCCACUAGAUCUCGUAGCGAUGUUAUUAAUUUUGCAUCUAAUUCAAACGCUUCCUCACUGGAUUUCAAACAUUGGGGGCGUACAUAUUAAUGAUCCCAACUGUUGCGUCACAGUCAGUGUUAUGUUGAGAUUCACCUGUUUUUCAGUGGUCUUUUGCACGAAUGAGAUUUACAUAAGGAGGAAACAAUGGUGUUUGAGGCUCACUGUAUGUCAUUUCCAUGUACAGAACUCUUAUUAUUCAACUAUGCUAAGGUAAAUUCAAUUUUAAAUUCUAGGGCACCUUUAGAUACAAUCAUUGGAUUUCUGUGCUUAGAAACUGUGUUUACCCAAAAAAUGAAAAUUAUCCCAUAAUUUACUCACCCUCAAGCCAUCCUGUAUAUGACUUUCUUUGUUCAGACACAAUCAACGUUAUUAAAUAAUACUCUGGUCUUCUGAGCUUUGUAAUAACAUUACACGCUAAAAAACAAAACAAAAAAACAAUGGGUUAAAAAUAACCCAAUUUAGGUGUUUUCAGCCCAAGGCCUGGGUAAAUAUAGGACAGAACACAUGUUGGGUUAAUUUUACCCUGCAAAUUGGAUUGUUUAUUUAACCCAGCAUAAUGGGUUGAUUUUUUUUUUUUUUUGCAUGAUAAUUCCUUUAUUUUCAAUUAUAUUUUACAGUACAACAUAUUUUAUAUUGUUUUUAAUACAUAUUGCACCUUUAAGCUCAUUUAACAAAUAUUAUUUAGAAGUAAUUAAAGUGUAAUCAACCAGUCUCUGUUGUCCUGUUUCUUGUGCCACUAUAACUAUAACUUUUACAGUUUUUCUAUCUCUAAAUUACAUGCCAUUUAUUUUUUCUUUUCAAAUGGCUUCACACUGCGUACACUCAAAUUUAUUGAAUUUUUUGGAUAUAAAACAUUUAUAUCCAAAUCAAUAUAUGUCUAAUUUCUGCAAAACUUUGAAUUUCCUCAAAUAAUCAAUAUGUUGGUUAGUAUUCAAUUUAUCAAUUAAUAUUUACAGUUGAGUUAAUGUCAGUAGUGCCUGUUUAAUUUACAUGUAAAUUUAUGUCAACUGCAUCUGCCUGUUAACAUCAAACAUUUCCAAGGUCGUACAGUUUAAUUUUCACAUUAGGCCAAUUUACAUUGCACAUCACCUCAUUUCUCAAACGAAAAGUCUGAAAAGUUUCUCAAAGUCUGAAAACGGCUCUCUAAACCCUCCUUUCUGAGAGCUUCCUCUAAUCUGAUUGGUCAGGUGGUAUGAUGUGUAUGUUGUGAUGGUCGACUUCUUAGAGUGCAAAACAAAUUACCCUUCACUAUAUCUGAAUUUCAGGUCUGGAUCUUCCUCAGCACUUAAUACAGUGAUAUGAACAGUAAUGAUGGCAAUGAGUCAAUGACAUGUCGGCAACACAAACUAAACUCUUACAGUCUCAGCUACAACUAGUGUUUGAUGGUCAAAGUAGACGUUGUUUGUGGGCAGCCAAUGAAGCUUCCGCUUCCGCUUUUCCGGUCAUGAGUAUGAGGUAACGCAGCUCUGUUUAUCAUAUUAGAUACAUUUGAGAGUGUUGAAAAUGAUGUUAUAACGUUACUCUGUGCGUUCGCUUGGUGGCUGCUGUGAGACACUUGUUGCACACUGCAGUAAGCUAGAUCGAUAUUAGAAUAUCAUAUUAAUAAAUGCUGGAUGGCUUGUGUUGAUAAAUGACAUGCAAUUAAUUUUAAAACGUAUUGUAUGAUGGAGAAAAUUCUGUAUUACUGUUACUUAAAAUAAAGCUGCAUCUGAUUAUGCUAUGUUAGCUACUUGACAAAAUAGUGGUUUUCUCUGAGGCAUGGUAAAGCAUGGUACUCGCAAAAAAAUCAAGAAAAUUAUUUAAACAAUAACACUAAACGUGUUGAGAUAUAUACAAACCCGAUUCCAAAAAAGUUGGGACACUGUACAAAUUGUGAAUAAAAAAGGAAUGCAAUGAUGUGGAAGUUUCAAAUUUCAAUAUUUUAUUCAGAAAACAACAUAGAUGACAUAUCAAAUGUUUAAACUGAGAAAAUGUAUCAUUUUAAGGGAAAAAUAAGUUGAUUUUAAAUUUCAUGGCAUCAACACAUCUCAAAAAAGUUGGGACAAGGCCAUGUUUACCACUGUGUGGCAUCCCCUCUUCUUUUUAUGACAGUCUGCAAACGUCUGGGGACUGAGGAGACAAGUUGCUCAAGUUUAGGAAUAGGAAUGUUGUCCCAUUCUUGUCUAAUACAGGCUUCUAGUUGCUCAACUGUCUUAGGUCUUCUUUGUCGCAUCUUCCUCUUUAUGAUGCGCCAAAUGUUUUCUAUAGGUGAAAGAUCUGGACUGCAGGCUGGCCAUUUCAGUACCCGGAUCCUUCUUCUACGCAGCCAUGAUGUUGUAAUUGAUGCAGUAUGUGGUCUGGCAUUGUCAUGUUGGAAAAUGCAAGGUCUUCCCUGAAAGAGACGACGUCUGGAUGGGAGCAUAUGUUGUUCUAGAACUUGGAUAUACCUUUCAGCAUUGAUGGUGCCUUUCCAGAUGUGUAAGCUGCCCAUGCCACACGCACUCAUGCAACCCCAUACCCUCAGAGAUGCAGGCUUCUGAACUGAGCGCUGAUAACAACUUGGGUUGUCCUUGUCCUCUUUAGUCCGGAUGACAUGGCGUCCCAGUUUUCCAAAAAGAACUUCAAAUUUUGAUUCGUCUGACCACAGAACAGUUUUCCACUUUGCCACAGUCCAUUUUAAAUGAGCCUUGGCCCAGAGAAAACGCCUGCGCUUCUGGAUCAUGUUUAGAUAUGGCUUCUUUUUUGACCUAUAGAGUUUUAACCGGCAACGGCGAAUGGCACGGUGGAUUGUGUUCACCGAGAAUGUUUUCUGGAAGUAUUCCUGAGCCCAUGUUGUGAUUUCCAUUACAGUAGCAUUCCUGUAUGUGAUGCAGUGCCGUCUAAGGGCCCGAAGAUCACGGGCAUCCAUUAUGGUUUUCCGGCCUUGACCCUUACGCACAGAGAUUGUUCCAGAUUCUCUGAAACUUUGGAUGAUAUUAUGCACUGUAGAUGAUGAUAACUUCAAAUUCCUUUCUGAUAUUGCUCCACUAGUUUUCGCCGCAGCAUUGGGGGAAUUGGUGAUCCUCUGCCCAUCUUGACUUCUGAGAGACACUGCCACUCUGAGAGGCUCUUUUUAUACCCAAUCAUGUUGCCAAUUGACCUAAUAAGUUGCAAAUUGGUCCUCCAGCUGUUCCUUAUAUGUACAUUUAACUUUUCCGGCCUCUUAUUGCUACCUGUCCCAACUUUUUUGGAAUGUGUAGCUCUCAUGAAAUCCAAAAUGAGCCAAUAUUUGGCAUGACAUUUCAAAAUGUCUCACUUUCAACAUUUGAUAUGUUAUCUAUAUUCUAUUGUGAAUAAAAUAUAAGUUUAUGAGAUUUGUAAAUUAUUGCAUUCCUUUUUUAUUCACAAUUUGUACAGUGUCCCAUCUUUUUUGGAAUCGGGUUUGUAAAACAAUUAGUUUUCUGUCUAUAAACAUAACCAAACAGUUGUUCCCUUGUCUAUUAAAACAUGUAAUAUAUUAAAGUGUCUUUGGUGUUUCCAUGGUUUCUACAAAAUAAAACUGGAAACCGAGGGUAAUGUGGGUAUGACACAAUUGACAGGCGACUCCUCACACAUUAAAACUGCAAUUUUCUCAUGAUUUACAAAUAGUUGGAAACAUUUGGGAUAUUGUAAGUACUCAAGUGAACAAAAUAUAUAACACUGGCCUAGUGGUUUCUGGAUAUUUUACUGCAAAAAUCUUACAUAUUGCACCUUUAACAAACAACUGUAUUACACACUGUAUGACAGAUAAUAUCUGAAAAAGCAUAAAAAUAUAAAAAUAUGUAUUUUUAUAAAAUAGUAUUUUAUUGAUAUAAAAAAGUCGGAAAAACAGGAUUUUAAAACUGUUUAUUUAAUUCAAUUUUGAAAUGUAUCCAAAUAAAACAAUAAUAGAGUAAACUGAUAAAUAAUUUUAAAUUGCCUUUUAAAAAAGCAUUUGCCACUUGCUUUACUUUGUCCUUUUGUCACACAGGAAGCAGCGUUUUGAAAUUGCCCAACAAUACUUUAUGUACUCAAGUCUGACUCAAGUGUGAGUCCAAGGCUAUUUUCAGGAGCACUUGGACUUGGCCUGAUCUGGUCUUGACUAUAGUCAUAAAAAAUAUGGUCUUGGACUCUGGCUUAAGUCCGAGUUCAGUCCUGAGUACUACAGCACUACUUUAUACCUUGAAUGUUGCGAACUACAUAACAUGGCAGGCAAAAACAACUUAUGUAAAGAGGGAUUGUAGAUAGAUGCUGGGUGUUGGUGUUGGAGGGGUGUUGGUCAUUCAACAACUGAACCCCUUUAGCAGGAAGUAGCGGCGGAUCUGAAGACUAACUCUCCUCAUGCAUAGUUUUUAGAUAGCAAGCUAUAAAAUUACAAUUGACAUGAAAAUUUACUUAUUUAUGGUUUUUAGUUUUAUGUUAAUUUUUGUCACUGUAGAUCAAUAAGAUAAAUUUUAAUUUUAGAAUUUUGAAAGCAAAUGUUGAAAUGCUUUUCCUACUUUCAAAUUUGCAGAACUAUCUUUGGCUUUUAGUAUUACAGGAAACAGAAGUGUUUACACACUUGACACAUGUUUUUACAGUUAUUUUUGAGUGAAGAGUCAAGAUCUUAUCUGCUCUAUCUCUUUCUCUCUGGUUAUUGUGGACAUGUUAUGACAAGUCAAGCUCAUUUUUUUCAGCACUUUUAUUUCUUUUGUAGGUCAGAGCAUGUGCAAAAGCCAAAUAAUCGAUUGAUAAUGUGCAGUCAAAAUUAUCCAACCCUGUCUGCAAAUCAAGUUUAUUGGCAAAAUUUACAGACUUUCAGCUGUUUGGAAUGAACAAAUCAAACAAAAGUAAUUGAAAUAGCUCAACACAAGGAAUGUUUUAAGUGGUUUCCUCAAAUUCAACUGAAAAUACAACAUUUCAUGACUUCUGCAGUCUCAAAAUCACCAGCUUAAACCAGCUACUUCCAUCCUAAACCAGCUAAGACUAGCCAUGAGCCUAGGCUGGUUUAGCUGUUAUUUCCAGCAGGGAGGUAAAUGCCGUCAUCACUGUUAAACAGCAAUAUUGGCUUUUGCUCGAGCCCCUGCCCUUUUUCAAAAUGAAUCAAAAGUGUCCCUCUCAGACAAAUAGCGAUGAUAAUAUUGUGGUUAAUAAAACAAAAUGCAUUUGAAUUAUAAUUAACAUGACAAUGUGUACAAUAGUAACGAAUCGCUCAAAAGUCUGAAAAUUCCUGUUUAUUUUUACAUAUUCGUCAGUCUGAGGCAUUGCUAUGGGUUGUGUGCGUUUUGGUUGACUGACUGAUUCCACAGUCUGAAGUGAACUACACCACAGUCGCACAAUUUCCAUGUCACCACCACUUCUGACAACUCUUUCAGCCUUUCUCUGAAAACAUUUUCCCUGAAGUUUGAAUUACAAUAGUUUUAAAGAGCUCAAUAAUAACCAUACCUAGGCUGUAAAGGCUGACUGAUCUUACCUGUUCAGUGUGAUGACGUUUAAUGUCACCGACAGCCUCUGUUGUCCCAUUUAGACACUUGUUAGCAACCAUCAUUUUCAAGACACGUAACGGCUUAAAAAAAAUCACGGGCAGGUUAAUACUGAUGAUUUAAUGUCAUAGAAUAAAAGCUAUUUAACCAAAAAUCCAUUCAAAAACCCAUUGACUUGAGACAAUGGAACUGGAAGGGCAAAAUUUUGAGCUUUGUUUUUCUGCAGUAGUAGUCAAGUUUGAUUCAUGCCAAGAAAGCCUAUACCAGCCUGACCAGCUAAAAAAGGUCAAAACUCAUUAGGUUGGUUCUAGUGGACAUGAGUCAAAAAUAUUUCACUUUAUAUAGUUAUAGUAUGUCUGUUGUGUAUGCAGUGGUGAUGUAGGAAUGUGCGGCCAUGCAGAAUGAAGUUCCAAAGACACUUUCAAAUUUAAUAUUUUUAUUACCAUUAUUGCCAUUUUUACAGUGAAUGAAAUGAACUGGCCUCAUAGGAUUAUAACUACAAGUUAAACACCUAUUGUCUGUGUUGGAUUUGUUAAUUCCUUUUAAUCUGUUGGCCAGUAGCACAAGCUUGCCCCAGCUUUUGGCACUGACAUUACUCUGACCUGCAGAGACACACACUUGUUAGCUGUGCUCUAUAUAGUAAAACAACACUCUGAGUAACCUAAAUUUCUGCUUUGGUGUUUCCUGAUCUCCUCCCCAUUGCUUCCUGUCUCUCAUCUGUCCUGUCAAAUAAAGGCAAAAAAUUACCCUCCCCCUCUUGCCAUCAAAAAAACUCUCCGCCUUCAGUUAUCUCUAGUAAAGCUACAACUGUAAGAUUGUAAGAGAUCUGUAACUGCGCUACAUAUUUCCUUUGUGACUAAAUUAGAACUGUGGAGUGUUAAUAUUUCAAAGUAUUCGGUGAGCUUUUCAGCUGGAAAUGGUCGACACAUUAUUUGUGCUCAGUUUGUGGCAUAUGAUUGGUGUGUUUACGUUUGCUGUUGAGACACAUGUUUCAGUGAUGACGGGAGAUUCUGUAGUUCUACACAGUGAUGUUAAUGAAACACAGAUAUAUGAAAAUAUAGAGUGGAGGUUUGAAAAGAGCCGUAUAGCUAGAAUAAAAAGAGUGAUCGGGAACGAUCCUCUGUAUGAGGAUGAGAGAUUCAGAGACAGACUGAAUCUAGAUCAACAGACUGGAUCUCUGACCAUCAAAAACACCAGAACCACAGACUCUGGACUUUAUCAACUGAAGUCUCAAGACUGUGGAUAAAGAGUCAUUCAAGAAAUUCAAUGUUACUGUUGAAGUGGCACCAACAACCACCUCACAAGCCCCAGUCCCAAAAACAUCUUCACAGCCUCCAGACUCAGUCUCUGUAUCUCCAAUAGUGUUGAUCUCUGUUGUUGCUGCUGCUGGAUCUCUGCUGACUGUAGCUGCAGUUGGGAUCUUCUGCAUCUGCAGGAGACAAAGAAAAACAGAACAACAGGGCAAG